rnacentral:tRNA from 1 species
UCCCUGGUGGCUCAGACGGUAAAGUGUCUGCCUACAAUGCAGGAGACCUGGGUUCGAUCCCUGGGUUGGGAA